GACGAACGCUGGCGGCGUGCUUAACACAUGCAAGUCGAACGGAACUGCCCUGCUUUUGUUGGGUGCUCGAGUGGCUAACGGGUGUUUAACACGUGAGUCACCUGCCCUUGACUUUGGGAUAACUUCCUGCAACUGGGGCUAAUACCGGAUAGGAUCUCCUGCUGCAUGGUGGGGGUUGGACAGUUUCGGCGGUUGGGGAUGGACUCGCGGCUUAUCAGCUUGUUGGUGGGGUAGUGGCUUACCAAGGCUUUGACGGGUAGCCGGCCUGAGAGGGUGACCGGCGACAUUGGGACUGAGAUACGGCCCAGACUCCUACGGGAGGCAGCAGUGGGGAAUAUUGCACAAGGGGCGGAAGCAUGAUGCAGCAACGCCGCGUGCGGGAUGACGGCAUUAGGGUUGGAAACAGAUUUCGCCUGUGACGAAGCGUGAGUGACGGUAAUGGGUAAAGAAGCAACGGAUAACUACGUG
rnacentral:rRNA from 1 species